AAGUCGUAACAAGGUUUCCGUAGGUGAACCUGCGGAAGGAUCAUUAUUAAUGGAAAAAGUUGCUGUGCUUUUUUUCUCUUCCUCCCGUCGUUCCUUUUGGGGGGGUUGGGGGAGGGGGUUGGAGCUCAGUAAUUCUUUCUUGUGAACUGAAAGUUUCCAUGUCCCCCUUUUAGGAGGGCAUGUGUCGGCUUUGCCUUUUUGUUUUUGACAUUUUGUAUUUUUUUUCCAUUUUAUUUUGAGAUUGAAAUACAUCUCAAGAAAACCAAGACAACUUUCAGCAAUGGAUCUCUUGGCUCUU
rnacentral:misc_RNA from 1 species